CUCCUGCCCUCUCCUUUCGCUGCUUAAGUUGUGGCUGAAGUGGAUAGGUGGAGAAGAAAGUGCAAAUUAACCGGCAUCCUGCGGUCUCUCCAAAAGAUGCCUUUAUUAACGCUGUGGGGUAGUAAUUUCAGAUCCCCUGAGGUGGUAUUGAGGUCGGGGAAACUCAUUCUGCAUCCAAAACAAGCCUCUCUUGAUCUGAAGAUCCUGCCAGGGCGGCUCCUCCUGCACCGACUCCCAGGGGUGCAAACACACCGAAUUCUGUCCAGAAAAAGAAAUCUCUCUGAAGGUUGCAGGAUAGUUUCAGACAUGCGCUCUGGAGGCAGAGUGACUUGUGUAUAAAAGCUGUAUGAACUUGGUCUAGAUGGCUGUUCCAGCGCCAGUCAUCACAUCUGCAUUCCAGCUAGCAGGAAGGAAGAAUGCAAAGAGAAGGACAUAACCUCUCUCUCCAAGGACACUUCUCAGAAGUUAACACACAAUUCUUCUGCUUACAUUCCAUUGGCCAGAACUUGGGCACAUGGCCACAUCUAGCUGCAAAGAGAGGCUGGCAAAUAAAAUCUUUAUUUCAAACAACUUUGUUCCCUACUGAAAAAAGGAGGAGUUUGUUAUUACAGAACUUGGUUUAACAACUGGAGCACUAUUGGCAGGACAGUCUCUUUUGAAUGAGACUGUCUCGUACAUUUUAGGACAUUUACACCACCAGGCCCCAGAUACUACCUAAACGCUGGUAGCACCCUCCCAGUGACUGUAUCAACCCAUGCUCCUACAAUUUAAAGUUAACCUUGGGGGUAGCACUGUCUUUGAAUUUUAGGUUUCUGUGGCAGGCAUUUUGCCUGCCCAGCAAGCAGUAUAUACCUUGCCAGGGAAAUACUCCUUCCCAUAGCCAUGUUUUGGAUAGCCAUCUUCUCAUGUGACUCUUUUUCUAAUAACAGAGAUGAGAAAACAGGUCAGCAUCUGACCCAGAGAAGGCCAAAUAAAAUCUUCUAACAGGUUUUUAAAAAUUAGACCUAGGUGAAGAGUUUUAAUUUCUUCCUGGGUGGAGGUA
rnacentral:lncRNA from 1 species